rnacentral:lncRNA from 1 species
GGAGAGACUCAUAAGAACAGUAGGGAGUCGAGAUGAUCUAGGCUCUAGAUUCUAGAGGAAUGGAGAGGAAGAGCCUCCGGGUGGGGGUUGCUAGCUGACAAACUGCAGUCCAGAGUUCAGGGAGGCUUGAAUAGUAGUGGUGGUCUGUGUGUGUACGUGUUUUGUGUGUGUGUGUGUGUGUGUGUGUGUGUGUAAUGAGUGGUUACCUACCAGACAGGUAACAGACAAGGUCAUUGUCAAGGUUAAUAGGUCAAGGUCAGGACUUCGCAUCUCAGGACAAUGCAAUGAGAAGCCGCCAGAGGAGUUUCUGUGUAGAGAAAUGACCGACGUUGACCUCCGCUCUCCGGAUUAUCUGCUUCCACAUUCAGAAGACUGGCAGAGAGGAGCAGCUUUUGUACGAAGGAAGCUAAUGCAGCAGGGAAAAUGGCAACCUUUCCUGAGCUGAGGGAUGCUCUGACAGAGAGCUAAUUCGUGGAGAAGGAAAUUAAAAGUUCACCAUCGCUGUGCUGAGUUUGAGACUCUUUUCACAUACUUAGCUGGCUGUGCUGCAGACAGUUGACAAGUGUAAACCAUCUACAGAGCCCCGUCAUAGGAAUGUGGAAACAAUUAGCUCCAUCACAUAAACUGGAACAAAUUUGGGGGAUUAAGAAAAUAAUAACCAAAUACAAUGGAUAAGUACAAUAGAAGUUUAUUCCCCACUGUUCAACAAGUCUGAGAAA